UACGUAGGGUGCAAGCGUUGUCCGGAAUUAUUGGGCGUAAGGAGCUCGUAGGCGGUCUGUCGCGUCUGCUGUGAAAACUCAGGGCUUAACCCUGAGCUUGCAGUGGGUACGGGCAGACUAGAGUGCGGUAGGGGAGACUGGAAUUCCUGGUGUAGCGGUGAAAUGCGCAGAUAUCAGGAGGAACACCGGUGGCGAAGGCGGGUCUCUGGGCCGAUAUUGACGCUGAGGAGCGAAAGCGUGGGGAGCGAACAGG
rnacentral:rRNA from 1 species